UGGAAGGUAUAUUUUUUUAUGGGGUUGCUCAAAUUUAAUGUAGUUGAGCAAUUUCGCUCAUUCUUAUUUUGUAUGAGUUUGUGUAGUUAUAAAUUUCCUCAACAUGUUGUUUGGAGGUUAAAAUGAUCGACUCAGCUCUCUGCUCCAUCAGGUUCGUUUUUUUUACCACUAUUCACUGCAUUAUUGUGAUCUUGAAUGGUUAGUAUUCCCGUACUUGUGAAAGUUAAACAAAACGAGAUAUCAUUGUGAAUAUCUGUUCUGGAUAUUGGUCUCUUUGCGUUUAUUUUUAUUAUUUUUUUCUCAGGUGGAUUCUUUUCUCAGGUGCAUUAUACAUGUUUGCUUCAUGCAAGAUUAACAGACAGAACUCUGCGAGUUAUUUUUCUUUAAUAAGGCAAUAAUAAUGUAAAACUGAUUAUUACUGAGAAUGAAUCUUCUUCGUCUUCUUUGACAACAGUUUGUACGCUUCUUCUUUUGUUACUAGUCCUACAUGGCUUUAUCAGAGCCCUGAUCAAUCUCAAGUUGUAGACCAGUCUGGAGAGAAUGUACUCAAUUUAUUCCUCUAUUUUUCAACGACUAUAUGAAGCCCAUAGUGUUAAUACGAGUGAGAGCUUUGCUGCAGUUGAGACAAUCCCUCGGUUCCUGUUCUAGAGCAACAUCAAGACUAUAAUCGACAGCCACUCUAUUCUUCAGCUUCUUAUCAGAGCCAUUCUUCCCUACUAUUACUCAUGCACCACUUUAUUCCAGUUCUCAGCCUCAGGGUUAGACUUCCAGUACUCAUAGACAACUCUAUAAGAGCUUUGAAGGUUAGACUCGCAGUACUUUAUUUGAUAUUUUACACUGAAAAGUUUCAGUGAAGGAAGAAUGGGAGUUUCUCUGUGCUCGUUUUUCUAGUGAAAAGUUUCAGAUUCGUUCAGAGAAGAAUGCUAUAAAUAGGUCAAAGUUGACACAUCACCACAAAGCUGGGUCAAAGUCAUUUAUGUCUCACCAAGAGCAAAUUGCAGCACAGACUGGAGAGAUGCAAGGUGCAAUUGAUCGCUUUGAAACAGAGUACAAAAGCACUAAAAAAGGUUGGGAUUUGGGAGCAAAAGCAAAGUGAGAUGAAAUGAUUAAGAUGCGAACUGAGACAACUCAACCUGAUGGAACUCGGACAAUGACAGAUGAUGAAAUUUGUGCAAAAGUCCUCGGAGUCAAAUCAGGCUACAUCAAGGGUUGUGGUUUUGGCCCUAGACCUCCACCAUCAAGAGUCUCUCAUUCGUCGAUAAAUGAAAUGUCUGAAAAGAACAAAAUGUUGCAAGAACAGCUUCAAGAGACCUAACACCUUGUAGGGACACAACAACAAAAGAUUGAUGCACAAAAUGAGGUGAUCCAAAGAUUGGAGGAGCAAGCCAAAAAGUUUGAGGAGUUCAUGGCUAACUUUUCCAGGCAAC